rnacentral:rRNA from 1 species
AUUGAACGCUGGCGGCAGGCCUAACACAUGCAAGUCGAGCGGAUGAAGGGAGCUUGCGCCUGGAUUCAGCGGCGGACGGGUGAGUAAUGCCUAGGAAUCUGCCUGGUAGUUGGGGAUAACGUCCGGAAACGGGCGCUAAUACCGCAUACGUCCUGAUGUAGAAAGGGGGGGAUCUUCGGACCUCACGCUAUCAGAUGAGCCUAGGUCGGAUUAGCUAGUUGGUGGGGUAAAGGCCUACCAAGGCGACGAUCCGUAACUGGUCUGAGAGGAUGAUCAGUCACACUGGAACUGAGACACGGUCCAGACUCCUACGGGAGGCAGCAGUGGGGAAUAUUGGACAAUGGGCGAAAGCCUGAUCCAGCCAUGCCGCGUGUGUGAAGAAGGUCUUCGGAUUGUAAAGCACUUUAAGUUGGGAGGAAGGGCAGUAAGUUAAUCCCUUGCUGUCUUGACGUUACCAACAGAAUAAGCACCGGCUAACUUCGUG